rnacentral:lncRNA from 1 species
CGAGGGCACGGGGGAGCCUCGUGCGCGCGCGGCGGGGCCCGGCGCGGCCGCUGCCUCCCGACCCACCCCGCCGGCGCUGGGCAGCCCUGGAAGUCCCUGGAAAUCCCUGCCGAAUCCUGUGUCGCCGCCGCCCACUUGUCUCCCGUGGGCGGCUGAGGAUGGAAAACACCGUGCUGUCGCGCGGGAGGGCCGAGCCGCGGGGGGCGGAGCGGCGGCAGGGGACGUGCGGCUGCGCCGGAGGCCCGGAUUGAACAACAUGCGCAAGUAGACGUGGAUAUCCAGUUAGGAAGAUCAUUCUGCCAUCUCUCUUCAGAGCUGAGAAGAAGCUUCAUCAUCCAGGUCUAGCAGAAAACUCUAUUCAAGCAUGUACAGUUCUCCAGAUCUGCUCUAACUCCUGUCAUCCAUUGUCAAAACAAAAGUAAGGGGUAGAUACUGAGAGUCCAGACUGUAAUAAGCACUUGAUUUGUGACUCAGAGCUGCAGGGGACUGUAAUGUCUGAAGACUUAGAGUUAGAGGAUGAAAUAUACUCUUCACUCUUCAUUUCACAGAAAAAAGAAAAGACAUGGAAACAUAAAGGAGCUUCUUCAUCUGCUCUCCCUGGGGAAAAAAAAAUCAUGCUGACAAAGACUUCUUUUGAAAAGCUGGAAGAGGAACAUUUGCUGUGA